GGCCAAUGAUGUGAGACAAUAUUUGCUACUCUUGAUGCCUCGGGGCACCUGAUGAUAGCUGACCACCAAGAUCUCUGAGGUC